UAGAGAAACGGCAUGACAGACAGACGACAGAUGGCAGCAACUUUCCCUCCGCUUCAUUCAUGUCUCCUGUUCAACAGAAUCAAAUCUUUACCAGCACGCUGUUUCUGCUGCACGCCCUGAAGAAUUGUGUAGAAUUCAGACGGCUGGGAAAUAAACCCAUCCUGUUCUACCAGCCACAGAGGAGAGUAAAAGGUGCCAGAUGAGCCUUCCCCUGGUGUGGUGCU